UACAUGUGUUGUAAGGACUAAAUGUAAGCUGCUGGAGAGACCACAGUGAGAGGAGGCAAGGCCAUCUGCUGAGGACAGGCCAGCCUGUGGUGCCAGUAACUGGAGCAAGUGGGAGUGAAAGCUACUGGAGUGGGUAGGGGUCUUGUCCACCAGCCACUGGGAUGAAGACAUCAUGUUUGUCCUGAAAACCAGCUACCAGGAGGGACUGGGGAGAAGGAAGCAAGUGAGGGACUCAUCUCCAGAGGCUGGCAUGGGACUGUGCAUCUCAGGAUUAAGUGACUUCAGAUCCAAGUUUUAUGAUCAAAGCCUGAACCUGGCCAGUUCCAUCUGAUGCCACUGCCCCUCCCUCUCCCACCAGGCACUGCUGUGAGGAGCCAGGCCCUGUUUCCUUGAUGCCUUCCCCAAAGGCACCAGAGCGUGCUGUUAGGUGCCCCUAAACCUCUUCUGAGCCAUGCUGAGCCAGCCCUGGUUGCCUUCUCCUGCCCAGGACCCUACAAAGGACACAGUGCCUGGGCGAGGCCUGAUGGGUGCUGAGCAGAGGGCACCAUCAGCCCUGCUCUCCCCAGCGAGUAAAGACAGACGGGAGAAAGUCCCCGGGAGCAAGCAGAGGGCUGACUUCCACCCAGCGUGGGAGGAAGCACGGGAGCCCAGAGGGCAGGCCAGCAGUGCUGGGGCAUGGGCAGGACUGGAGGGACUGUGUGGUGCAGCCUGAGAGGCAGGCCCGAGCUGUGAUCGAACGGACCCUCCUGCUGUAUGUGCUUGAAGACACAUGGCGUAGCCAAGGUGACCGGGACGGGGCCCUGGGAAGGCACAGCCAGGGACCCCGGCCUGCUGGGAAACACCAGUGCCACGGACAAGACAAAAGUUGGGGGGCAUGGAGUGGACACGAGCAUUGCGGGAGGCUCAGAAUUUGGGGCCAGAGAGCUGCCGAGGUGAGGAUGGGCCCUUGGGAUACCUCCUACGGGUGGCUGGUGGCGUCUCCAAGCGAUGGACUGUGACGUCUGUGAGCAAUGGAUUGUGACUGCGUGGCCCUCGCUGCUCAUAUGCGGGCGCAGAGUCCCACCGCGCCGGCUAGUGCCCGCACUCCGGCUGAGCGGUUGCGUGAGGUCUGGAGUGAGGAGCGAGGUUGGCCUUGGUGCUGGUGUCGUGCCCUGGGAGUUGCUGCAGCAGCUC